rnacentral:misc_RNA from 1 species
AACCAAACCCUUGUCAACUUUGAUACCAGGAACAAUGUUUUGCUCAAUAAGAACAUCAACUAUUUUGCGUCCAUCCACGGUAGACUGGUAGAGGGUCUCCUCAAAAAGAAUAGCACCAGAGAUGUACUGUCCAAGGCCAGGAGCUGACACCAGCAAGGUACGGUACGCUUGGCGGUUAGCCUCAGUGUUUUCCAAACCAAUGGAAGCCAAACGCUUUCCACAAGUGGCAUUCGACUCAUCCAUGGCUAAAAUUCCACGGCCUGGUGAUGCAACAGUUUUAGCGGUUUUAAUGAGCUCAUCAGCAUAAGAGGAAGCUGCGCGGACAGUAAGAGAAGUAGCAUUGGUGGGAUGACAACGGACCACUGAGACAGAAGGCUGACGAAGGCUUUGCCCCUUUAAAAACUCAGAUUUGUCAAGAACUGGGGAUGACUUUAGUAGAGAUGCUGAGGCCAUUUUCUUUUUCUUUACUUCAAAUUUUUUCCUCUCUACAAGAAAUCUCCUUAUCUCUCAG